rnacentral:lncRNA from 1 species
GCAACACAACCCAUCAAGACUGACCCACAUCUCAUAUCAGAUCUACAAGUGCACCAGGGACAAAGGAAGAGGCAGGCCCUGGCCAGGCUUGAUGUGGAAUCCAAAGGGAAAAUGAAGCCAGAUGUUUCCACCUAAUUGUCAUGUAAUCUUGUUUGUCCAACAAUAUGAAAGAUGGACCCUCUCGUAGUGAAGUUGGAAACAUAGCCUACGAGUGGAAACCUUUAUCCGUUUAUGUGCUAUGUGUGCCAACAACAGGAGUCCAACAAAGACUGUUUAACCAUUUCCAUGUGUGCAAAGGAAGACAAAUACUGUGUGACUGUCCGUGACAAUGUUGGAACAAACCCCGACAAGCCUAAAUAUGUCAUCUCUAAGAUGUGCUCUCCAACGUGUAAUGCAACAAGUCAGCAACAAAACCAAGCCCAUCGGAAUGUUUCAUGCUGUGAGAAACCAUUGUGCAAUGUGAAUGGAGGCAGCAGCAAGCAAGGCAGCUAUGGAGCAAUGUUCCUGGGUGUCCUAGCUAGUAUCACUUACAUUUUUGCCUGUGGACGGUGAUGGGUUAGGAAAAGCUCUCUGUGUUGGCAUUAUUGUCUGAAAUAAAAGUGUGUUACACUAGGA